rnacentral:rRNA from 1 species
GUCUACGGCCAUACCACCCUGAACGCGCCCGAUCUCGUCUGAUCUCGGAAGCUAAGCAGGGUCGGGCCUGGUUAGUACUUGGAUGGGAGACA